rnacentral:tRNA from 1 species
CGGAGCGUAGCGCAGUCAGGUAGCGUAUCAUCUCGGGAAGGUGAGGGUCGCAGGUUCAAGUCCUGCCGUUCCGACCA